rfam:Gavia stellata contig69072, whole genome shotgun sequence.
UUGGGGUACGGGGAUAUGUACCCCAUGACGUGGUCGGGGAUGUUGGUGGGGGCUCUUUGCGCCUUGGCGGGGGUCCUCACCAUCGCCAUGC